rnacentral:rRNA from 1 species
AAGUCGAACGGUAACAGGAAGUGCUUGCACUUCGCUGACGAGUGGCGGACGGGUGAGUAAUACUUAGGGAUCUGCCUUUGAGUGGGGGACAACCAUUGGAAACGAUGGCUAAUACCGCAUAACGUCUACGGACCAAAGUGGGCUUCGGCUCACGCUUGAAGAGGAACCUAAGCGAGAUUAGCUAGUUGGUGAGGUAAGGGCUCACCAAGGCGACGAUCUCUAGCUGUUCUGAGAGGAAGAUCAGCCACACUGGGACUGAGACACGGCCCAGACUCCUACGGGAGGCAGCAGUGGGGAAUAUUGCACAAUGGGGGAAACCCUGAUGCAGCCAUGCCGCGUGUGUGAAGAAGGCCUUCGGGUUGUAAAGCACUUUCAGUUGUGAGGAAAGGUUGGUAGUUAAUACCUGCCAGCUGUGACGUUAACAACAGAAGAAGCACCGGCUAACUCCGUGCCAGCAGCCGCGGUAAUACGGAGGGUGCGAGCGUUAAUCGGAAUUACUGGGCGUAAAGCGCACGCAGGCGGUUUGUUAAGCUAGAUGUGAAAGCCCCGGGCCCAACCUGGGAUGGUCAUUUAGAACUGGCAGACUAGAGUCUUGGAGAGGGGAGUGGAAUUCCAGGUGUAGCGAUGAAAUGCGUAGAGAUCUGGAGGAACAUCAGUGGCGAAGGCGACUCCCUGGCC